UUUUUAAAGGUAUUUUUGUCAUUUUAUCUUAUAUAUUUAUCAUUCGGAUGAUGAUUGUGAAAUUACACAGAUUACAAGAGCGGACAUGAAACUUUCUGUUGGUAUGCACUUCAUUGUCAAAAUCCAUAUCUCACUGAGCGUCCACCACAGCAGUAUUUAGUAUUGCCAUCCAGGGACAGCAUAUGUUAAAAACUGAACAUACAUAUAGUAAAGAUGCCUCUGAUGCAUCGAGAAAUUUUGCCUUUUUGCUAAAAAUCUUUAACAAUAUUAUUCUUGUUACUUGCAAUGCUAAUUUUGAUUCAUGUUUUAUUUCCAUGCAAUACAUUGUAUUGGGAUUAGACCCUGGUGGAGACAGCCUAGAUAUAGAUUAUUUUGAUAAUGAGAGCAACAAUUUCCGGGUUGCUGCAGCAGUGAGUGAAUUUGGGCCAUCAGAAUGUUACAGUCAAAUCUCAAAAGACCCAUGAAUUUCACUUUUAAUGCUGGAUACUUGCCAAAGGUGACAAACAGGAAAAAACAUUGGAGUAUAAAGUAGAUCAGAAGUGGGCCCAAUUCAAACUGACCACACCA